CAGAGGAGGAAGCAACAGAGACACUUUAUGAGAGUGAUGAUGGAAAUGCAGAGGAAGAGGGUCCAGCCACUUCUCCAACAAACCUUUCCUCACUCCCUGUAAAGCAGCUGUACAAGACCUAUUUGAUCAAGAAAGUAAAAAAAUGCGACUUGGAAAUGGAACACUUCAAGCAGCAGAUCCAAAAGACCAAGAUUGAGAUUUUACUGCUGGAACAUCAGU